UCCAGACUCCUACGGGAGGCAGCAGUGGGGAAUAUUGCACAAUGGGGGGAACCCUGAUGCAGCGACGCCGCGUGGGUGAAGGAGCACCUCGGUGCGUAAAGCCCUAUCGGCAGGGAAGAAAAGCGAACAGGUUCGCCUGGACGGUACCUGACUAAGAAGCCCCGGCUAACUACGUGCCAGCAGCCGCGGUAAUACGUAGGGGGCAAGCGGUAUCCGGGUUUACUGGGUGUAAAGGGGGCGCAGACGGCGAUGCAAGCCAGGAGUGAAAGCCCGGGGCCCAACCCCGGGACUGCUCUUGGAACUGCGUGGCUGGAGUGCAGGAGGGGCAGGCGGAAUUCCUGGUGUAGCGGUGAAAUGCGUAGAUAUCAGGAGGAACACCGGCGGCGAAGGCGGCCUGCUGGACCGUGACUGACGUUGAGGCUCGAGAGCGUGGGGAGCAAACAGGAUUAGAUACCCGCGUAC
rnacentral:rRNA from 1 species